ACACACACACACACACACACACACACACACAACAGUAGAUUCAUUACAUUUUCACUUCAGCUGGAGGAUCAAAUGAAGAAGUGGAAUGAGGACCUUUGACAGGACUCGGGGUGCCAGUCAUAUUCACAGUUGCUAAUUAUUAACCAAACCAGCAUGUCAGUUUGGUUCAGUGUGUGCAUUUCCCCACACCUGCCAUUCUCCCCCUACAUACCACACAGUCUCAGACCUCCCCACCCUUAUCUUUCCCACAUCCACCUGCUCCUGUUUUACAUUCCCAAAUCGUCCCCACCUGCUGCCUCUCAUUAUCCCACCAGCUCUCUCUGUUUGCCAGUUCAUCCUGUCAGUUUUCCUGCCUGGUGUCUGCUCCCUGAGCUCUGGCGUGCUGCCUGUUAACGACCCGCCUGCUUUGCUCGUCUGGAUGUCUUUGCCUGUUGGACUGCCUCCUCCUGCCUGACUACCAGCUCCAUAGUCUGAACACUGAUUUGGAAUGGGAAACAACUUCUGAGCCCAUAAAGGAUGGGAGGUUUCCUGGAUGAGGUGUAAAGGUCAGCUUAGAAAAGAAUAAUCUUAACAAUGUGUUGUAAGACCACGUCAGCCAUGAGACUCAGAUGUGACGCUGGCCUUCAGGAGGAUCUGUCUAUGACCAAAGUGUAACUGCCAGAGCAUUGAACUGAGUCUGUUUUGACCAGUGAAGCUACUGGAAGCUGCUGCUGCUGCUGAGGAAGAUCCAAAAAGGAAUAAAUAAUGAAAAUGAAUGUGCUGCCUCAUUAUUUUCUUUAAGACUGGAACAAUAGUUGAAUUUCUUUUCUCCCUUGUGAAUAAAUCCAAGAAUAAGGACAAAGGUACAGAAAUACUGAACAAAGUGAACCAAGCUGAGGAUUCGGCCGGUGGAUGUGCAACUCCUGGUGCCUAACAAGCAUCUUGUUAACCAAUCCUGUCAGCCUGUCUUGCUCUCUUCUGUACCUUCCUCAUGACAUGAGGUCUUAUUUGAAAUAAAAAUGAAUGAGCAAGAA